GACGAACGCUGGCGGCGUGCCUAAUACAUGCAAGUAGAACGCUGAAGGAGGAGCUUGCUCUUCUGGAUGAGUUGCGAACGGGUGAGUAACGCGUAGGUAACCUGCCUGGUAGCGGGGGAUAACUAUUGGAAACGAUAGCUAAUACCGCAUAAGAGUAGAUGUUGCAUGACAUUUACUUAAAAGGUGCAAUUGCAUCACUACCAGAUGGGCCUGCGUUGUAUUAGCUAGUUGGUGGGGUAACGGCUCACCAAGGCGACGAUACAUAGCCGACCUGAGAGGGUGAUCGGCCACACUGGGACUGAGACACGGCCCAGACUCCUACGGGAGGCAGCAGUAGGGAAUCUUCGGCAAUGGACGGAAGUCUGACCGAGCAACGCCGCGUGAGUGAAGAAGGUUUUCGGAUCGUAAAGCUCUGUUGUAAGAGAAGAACGAGUGUGAGAGUGGAAAGUUCACACUGUGACGGUAUCUUACCAGAAAGGGACGGCUAACUACAUGC
rnacentral:rRNA from 1 species